CCACCAUCUCAGCGCCUGAGGCCACCGGCGAUGAGGAGAAACUGGUUUUCCCCCUGGUUGCAGGGGAGGACGAGGAUGAUGUCAAGUCCAUUCGCUCUCACCGAAUAAAGAUGGAGAUUUCAGGCCAUUCUUUGGAGGAGUCAAUGGAGGAGUGCCGGGUGGAGGAGAUGUCUGUUCAUAAGUCCCAUUAUAAGGAUGCUUUGCAGGAUGGCCUCAAGGAUCCUCUCCUGGAACUGGACUCACCUGAGCCCAAUGGCAG